rnacentral:rRNA from 1 species
GCUAAGGUCGGGGAUAGGGCGGCGGGAAUAGGAAGGGGGCAAGGUUGGAUCGGAAUUGCUGGGCGUAAGGCGGGCGUAGGUGGUGCGUUAAGUCGGAUGUGAAAGCCAUGGGCUCAACCUGGGAAUGGCAGUGGAAACUGGCGAUCUAGAGUGCGGUAGAGGGUAGUGGAAUUCCCGGUGUAGCAGUGAAAUGCGUAGAGAUCGGGAGGAACAUCUGUGGCGAAGGCGACUGCCUGGACCAGCACUGACACUGAGGCACGAAAGCGUGGGGAGCAAACAGGAUUAGAUACCCUAGUAGUC